CUUGCUAAGUUUGAUGGCGACCGGCGCACGGGUGAGUAACACGUAUCCAACCUACCCUUUACUCGGGGAUAGCCUUUCGAAAGAAAGAUUAAUACCCGAUAGCAUAAUGAUUCCGCAUGGUUUCAUUAUUAAAGGAUUCCGGUAAAGGAUGGGGAUGCGUUCCAUUAGGUUGUUGGCGGGGUAACGGCCCACCAAGCCUUCGAUGGAUAGGGGUUCUGAGAGGAAGGUCCCCCACACUGGAACUGAGACACGGUCCAGACUCCUACGGGAGGCAGCAUG
rnacentral:rRNA from 1 species